UCAGCGGAGUGCAAAGCAGAGCUGUGGUAAGAAGUGGAACAGGGGACCCGCUGCUCAGAGCUUUCCAGGCUCUGCA